AUUGAACGCUGGCGGCAGGCUUAACACAUGCAAGUCGAGCGGAGUGAUGGUGCUUGCACUAUCACUUAGCGGCGGACGGGUGAGUAAUGCUUAGGAAUCUGCCUAUUAGUAGGGGACAACAUCUCGAAAGGGAUGCUAAUACCGCAUACGUCCUACGGGAGAAAGCAGGGGAUCACUUGUGACCUUGCGCUAAUAGAUGAGCCUAAGUCGGAUUAGCUAGUUGGUGGGGUAAAGGCCUACCAAGGCGACGAUCUGUAGCGGGUCUGAGAGGAUGAUCCGCCACACUGGGACUGAGACACGGCCCAGAAUCCUACGGGAGGCAGCAGUGGGGAAUAUUGGACAAUGGGGGGAACCCUGAUCCAGCCAUGCCGCGUGUGUGAAGAAGGCCUUAUGGUUGUAAAGCACUUUAAGCGAGGAGGAGGCUCUUUUGGUUAAUACCCAAGAUGAGUGGACGUUACUCGCAGAAUAAGCACCGGCUAACUCUGUGCCAGCCGCCGCCGUAA
rnacentral:rRNA from 1 species